GUAACGCGUUGGUGACCUGCCCCGAAGAGAGGGAUAACAGUUCGAAAGGAUUGCUAAUACCCCAUGUGGUUGUUUGGAUUAGAUGCCUUACAACUAAACGGAUUUAUUCGCUUCGGGAGGGGCCUGCGUCCCAUCAGCUAGUUGGUAAGGUAAUGGCUUACCAAGGCUAUGACGGGUAGCUGGACUGAGAGGU
rnacentral:rRNA from 1 species